CCCUUAGAUGUUCUGGGCUGCACGCGUGCUACACUGAUAUUGCCAACAUGUCAUUCUUAUCCGAAAUGGAUUGGGUAAUCAAGUAAUGAAAUUUCAUGCUUGGAAUCGGUAAUUGCAAUUUUAUCGUGAACGAGGAAUUCCUAGUAAGCACUAGUCAUCAGCUAAUGUUGAUUAUGUCCCUGCCCUUUGUACACACCGCCCGUCGCUACUACUGAUUGGGUGUUCAAGUGAGAUGCUUAGACCCUUGUUGCAUGGUUCAUUAUUGUGCUCCGAAAGGAAAAAGUUUCAAGCUUGAGUGUCUAGAGGAAGUAAAAGUCGUAACA
rnacentral:rRNA from 1 species